rnacentral:miRNA from 1 species
UUUCAGAAAAUUUCCUGUGUGUGAGUGUGUGUGUGUACACACACACACACACACACACACACACACACAGGAUAUUCAGUAA